rnacentral:tRNA from 1 species
GCAUCCAUGGCUGAAUGGUUAAAGCACCUUUCCUAGUAAAGGGGCAAAUUCGUAGGUUCGAUUCCUGCUGGAUGUU